rnacentral:rRNA from 1 species
UGGCGGCGUGGAUAAGACAUGCAAGUCGAACGAGAGAAUUGCUAGCUUGCUAAUAAUUCUCUAGUGGCGCACGGGUGAGUAACACGUGAGUAACCUGCCCCCGAGAGCGGGAUAGCCCUGGGAAACUGGGAUUAAUACCGCAUAGUAUCGAAAGAUUAAAGCAGCAAUGCGCUUGGGGAUGGGCCCGCGGCCUAUUAGUUAGUUGGUGAGGUAACGGCUCACCAAGGCGAUGACGGGUAGCCGGUCUGAGAGGAUGUCCGGCCACACUGGAACUGAGACACGGUCCAGACACCUACGGGUGGCAGCAGUCGAGAAUCAUUCACAAUGGGGGAAACCCUGAUGGUGCGACGCCGCGUGGGGGAAUGAAGGUCUUCGGAUUGUAAACCCCUGUCAUGUGGGAGCAAAUUAAAAAGAUAGUACCACAAGAGGAAGAGACGGCUAACUCUGCGCCAGCAGCCGCGGUAAUACAGAGGUCUCAAGCGUUGUUCGGAAUCACUGGGCGUAAAGCGUGCGUAGGCUGUUUCGUAAGUCGUGUGUGAAAGGCGCGGGCUCAACCCGCGGACGGCACAUGAUACUGCGAGACUAGAGUAAUGGAGGGGGAACCGGAAUUCACGGUGUAGCA